rnacentral:lncRNA from 1 species
AUAAUAUAUUAACUAUAUCAGUUUCAACAUGAACAAUCUCAUUUGACUCCAUUUUGAAAUUAAUUGACUUAUUUAUUUUGAAAGAAGUUUGUAAACAAAAAUUGUUUUGUUUGGAUGAUUCAUCUAAAGUGAUCAUCCAAAUUGGAUCAUAUUAAUUUGCCCUUAAGGUAGCCAUUAGUCCUGGAUUUUUGGGAAUAGUUCAUAAAAAUAAGAUUGUCUUGGUCUAAUUUUUUAAAUCUGUCUUCUGGAUUAUAUUCACUAGAUGAUGAAUAUUUUGGAUAUAUGUAAAGAUCCAAAAGUUACCUACUUUUGUGGUAGAAUACGUUUGAAUUUCCCAGUGUCUGUGUAUGUUGAUCCUGUGUCGCUGCCAUCUUUAACUCUUGUUCCCGAUGGAUUAACCUUUUUUUGUUUUGUUGUUAUGUUAAAGUUAAUAUUAUGUUGAUUUAUAUCAUUUAAAAUAUUGUUUAAAGUAAUAAGUGAAAUAAUGCAGUCAAGUUUAUCUUUAUCCUUUGUUAUUUAUAUAAAAUUAUGCUAAUAAGGUGGUGAUUGAAAGAAGAACCAAAAGGAGGUGUUGUAGUCUUGCCUGUCAUCUUUGUCGUCUUCGUAUUGGAAUGUGCCGUCAUCCUGGUGUUGCCAUCAUUGCCAUUUUGUGUUCGUUGUAUGGUUAUCGUCAUUGCCUUGAGACUGUUGCUUGUCAUCUUGUACUGUGGUGAAUUUUUUAUUAUGUUAAAUGUUAUUAGUGAAAGUAGACUGUGAGUUGCAGCUAGUAUUUGGAUUGUUAGUGAUAUGUCGGCAAAAGUCUAUAUUGUGAAUUAUUGUUUAUCAUCAUCACGUAAUUUGUUCUAUAGUUCCAGAAAGGCAGUUAAUAUUAUUAUACAGGCAAGAAUUGUUUCUGCAAAAAGUUUUAAUACAUUAAUAUUAUAUCUUGUUAGUAAAAUUGCAUUUAGUAUGGAGCAUGUAUUUGAAUCAUUAUUUCUCUGAAUGGAAAACAAUGAAAUUAGUGUACAAAUUAAGAUCGGUAUUAAUCGAAAGCUGCCCAACAGCGAACCACGGUGCCGAACUGAGAGUAGGCGGGUCAGAGGUAUGCAUGACUGUCACAUAUAUGGCAACCUUCUAAUUCUAUAAAAUAUAUAUUUGUAUGCAUAUAAAAUAUAUAUAAACCCAAUUACUUUCAGUUCCUUAUAAUAGAACUAUAUACAUUAGAGCAAAGAGAAAAUCAUAAAUUUGUUAGAUAUGGACUCAGAGAAGUAAUAAUAAUAGAAAAGAUGUGAUGAACAGGAAUCGCUGAAGGAAAAAGAAAUUUCUGUUAAAAAAAAAUACCUGGAAGAACCAUGAUAAAACGAUAACAAAGGAGACCAAAUCAAUUUUCAAAAUUUUUAUCUUUUGUGCAUAUGUAUUAAAUGCUUUCUUAAUCCAGGAAAUAAUUUCAUCUCCCAAUAAUUGUUUAGAAUAUACUGUGAGUUUUUCUUUAAACUGAAGUCUGAUUUUUGACAUUGAGUCGGUUCUGAUACAUAUAUCAUGUCGGGAAUCAUUGGCUAUGAAUUUUUUUUAAUUCUAACAGCUAUGCAUUUGAACAUAUUGGCCCUUUUGAGCGGAUUCAAAUCGUUGAACAUUUUUGGUGGUUAUGUCUGUGUGAAGAGUCGACCGACCCUGGAAGAGUGGGAGAUGGCCAUAAGCGGUCAAGAAACAGUCAGUUUUGGACCAGCAGUCGAGAGGAUAAGUUCCAUCGAUUACUGGUGCACUCAAGGGUAUUUAUUCUUUGUUGAGUUU